rnacentral:rRNA from 1 species
CCUACGGGAGGCUGCAGUGGGGAAUAUUGCACAAUGGGGGAAACCCUGAUCCAGCGACGCCGCGUGAGUGAAGAAGUCAUUCGUUAUGUAAAGCUCUAUCAGCCGGGAAGCAACAGACGGUACCUGCGUCAGCAGCCCCGGCUAACUACGUGCCAGCAGCCGCGGUAUUACGUAGGGGGCCCGCGUUAUCCGGGUUUACUGGGUGUAAAGGGAGCGUAGACGGGGUAGAAAGUCUGAAGGGAAAGCCCGGGGCUUAAGCGCGGAACUGCCUUGGAAACUUGUUUGCUGGAGUGCAGGAGAGGUAAGCGGAAUGCGUGGUGUAGCGGUGAAAUGCAGAGAUAUUAGGAAGAACACCAGUGGCGAAGGCAGCUUACUGGACGGUGACUGACGUUGAGGCACGAAAGCGUGGGGAGCAAACAGGAUUAGAUACCCGAGUAGUC